GCAACUCGCCUCGCAUGAAGUCGGAAUUGCUAGUAAUCGCGAAUCAGCAUGUCGCGGUGAAUACGUUCCCGGGCCUUGUACACACCGCCCGUCACACCAUGAGAGUUGGCAAUACCCAACGUACGUGAUCUAACCCGCAAGGGAGGAAGCGUCCUAAGGUAGGGUCAGCGAUUGGGGUGAAGUCGUAACAAGGUAGC
rnacentral:rRNA from 1 species